UCCAGUGAUUAUGGCAAAGAGGUCACACCCGUUCCCAUACCGAACACGGAAGUUAAGCUCUUUAGCGCCGAUGGUAGUUGGGGGUUUCCCCCUGUGAGAGUAGGACGUCGCUGGGC
rnacentral:rRNA from 1 species